UUUGUUGAAUGAUUCUCUUCGGCUGCGGAAGCAGCGUGCACCACGGUGACGGCAGCGUCCUGCUGUAAAUAUCGCCUGAGGUGAAGGUAGCUGUGCUGGUGUUUGUAUUGAAACAUCUCCCAGAGGGUUCCUACCUGUAUUCCAGGUGCAACCAGAGAAAAUCUUGUGCAGAAAUGUUAUUGUUUGAGCAGAGUUUCAGCCCACAUAACCCACAGAGGACUCCUCCAACUGUUUAUGCAGAAGGGGCCCAAGGAUGUCUGUAAAGUUGUCUCCGGAAAAUAAGAGGACUGGCAAAACAAAAGUGAUGCAGGUCGACGUCUGAGAAUCUCAUCAGUCCAGCAAGUCAACUCAAAGGAGCUGUGAGGGAAAAUUAAGUUUCUGUCAUGUGCUGUUGAGGAGUGUGUCAGAAAAAGUCACUGGAAUUGCAGGAGAAGGAAACGAAAUCAAAAUGAUCAGGAAAAUGUUAUCUGCCAGUGAAUUCAUAACGAAACUUCAAUCAUCACACAUACGUUCAGGUGAUUUAUUUGUUUAUUUUCAAAUUAAGGCAAAUCUAUCCCCUGUUUGCCCUCCAGGAACACGUUCAUUCCCUCUGUUGUACAGAAAACCGACUUCAAUCACUUUUCAUGACAAUCCCAGCACAAAGCUGGCAGAGCUCAGAUUCUCACCACACUUAGGACUAAAACAGCGCAGGGGGAGAAGAAGAAUAGGAAUAUCAUCAUUUAGUCCUUAAUAUUGAGGGGGUGAGUAAAAAAAAAAAAGAAGAAACAAAAAAAUUCACAAUGUGCACACUUGGUUUUUAAAAUUUGUGACUGAUUCCCAACAGAAAUGUGAUGCAAUAAUUUGUGCACCCCUGACCAACAUGGAGAACGUUUGCAGGCUUAUCCUCAACAUGAAUGGCCUGAGAGAGCAAAACACAUUAACACACACACACACACACACACACA